ACGUGACCAGAAAGCAACAUGGCCGAGCCGGGCACCUAACGCGAUUAGACCCCUAACGUUUCUUUUCUCCCAACCGAGAACUAAGCUUCGGGAGAUCGCGGUUGUCUGAGAUUGGAUGCGAUACACCACCACGGCCACCGAAGAGCAGGUUUAAGGCCAUUCCGCGAGGAAAGAAAUCAACUUUAAUGCAUACCAUGCUUGCGCGUCGUCCGAAUAAUGAUUAACCCCGAAAUCAGUCGCGUCGCUGGCGGAGUGCGAUUCUCAUGAAGAAUGCAGAGUCGACAAGGAUACCGGCUCAUUCGUAUUAGGCCGACAAUGGAGGCGCACCAACGAGAACUUUUAAAUGUUUCACGGAUUCGUCGUGUCGACAUCGAUUUUCAAGGAGUCGCGUACAAAGAACCAACUUGGAGUAAAACGUUGCCUCAUGUAAAACAAUUCGCGUGCGUUUGGUAAAGAGACUUCAAUUCCUUGAUGUUAAAGUUCUAUAAUAUAUUCUAUACUUUCUUUCCAUCCUGAGAGUUAUCCCUUUCCCCGCCAUCAGCAUUUUAAUAACAAUUCCGCAUGUUUGAUUUGGAAGAAAUAUAAAAGAAAUUAUUAA